GUUAUUUUGGCAGAAUAGUGCAAUAGAUUUAGAAUCUUUUUAUGUAAAAUUUUUUACAAAUAAUA
rnacentral:tRNA from 1 species